rnacentral:lncRNA from 1 species
UUUUUUUUUUUUUUUUUUUUUUUUUUGGGGUGGGGUGGGAGGCAUCCUAGGAGGAAGCAAAAAAUUGCAGCAAUGGACUUAUGGGUUCGUAAGCACCAAAAAAGUACCCCCGCUGAAUAUAGGUUCCACAUUUCGAAACUUGGUGUUUGUGUUUUUUUUUUAUCUUUUCUGCGGUUGUUAUUGGUGAAAAUGAUCUUGGUUAGAAACAAUGGUAACGCAAGUUUUGAGAAUUGGAAUUUGUUUAAGUUUGGUGAAUUAAAACUAAUAGGUGAUAUAAUAAAUUCAUAUUGAAAAUCAUUCUAUGUUUAUACGGCAAACUCGAGAUUCAUAAAAACUUGCACAUUUAUAUUAGCAAAUUUUUUUAAGAAAAAAAAGUUUGCACCAUUUAUGUUUCAUUCAUUUCUUACUUGUGAAAUUCCUUUUUCUCUUUUAGCUGGUAAAUGCAUGCUACAUAUUUAGGGUUUAAACUUUAAAUUUGGGUAUAGGUUAUGCGUGCUAGAAUUUAUGCAAAAAAAAAAAUUUAAAUACAACUUUGGGCUGACCUGAUCCUAUCAUUUUUGGCAUGAGUUUAGCAUACUUGAAUCCUUUGGUGUAAAUAUUAUAGGCAGGUAGAAACGUCGAUAGGAAAAUUGGAUGACGGCAGAGAUAUCCGCACGAAAGUCAUUCAUGGUGCUUAAACAACUGUGUAGGUUUGGUCAGGCAGUGAAAGUACUGGUGGACUAACGAGCUGAUUCACAGCAAUGGUGUGCAAAGGCCUAGUUGAUUCUCGCCUGCCCUCUUCAAAUCGGUUCACCACUUGCUGCAUUGUUGGUCGACAUUUCGGGUUUGCAUUGAUGCAAUCCAGGGCUAACGCUGUUGGGAGAACCACAUUUCGAACCACCAAAGGGUUAGUCGGAGGGGUCAGACGGGCAUCAAGAAGAUCCUUCAGCAGUACUGGUUCAGUGGGUUGUGAUGAAAAGGAGGAAAGGAAAUCUUGUGGAUGCUUUCCAAACAGCGUUUCCAGCACCACAACGCCAAAGCUAUACACAUCGGACUUUUCAGUGACCACCAUGGUAUAGGCUAGCUCUGCAUUGACAGGUAAGUAUAUAUUUGGAUACAAAUAAAGUUAAUCUCAACUGGACAACUCUAGACUUACUAUUCAACAAAAUAAUCAUUUCAAUUGGAAGAAUUUUUCCUUUUCUGUCCUUGAAAGUUAAGCCUAAUAUGUGCAUAUGAAAAACGUGUUGGUGAAAAGAAGAAAGUGAUCUGGGAUAGCAAGGUAACCAACCCGGUGCCAUGUAACCAAAGGUGCCCGCAAUGACCGUUUGAUUUGAUGAAUCAAGUUCCAAAAUCCUCGCAGUUCCAAAGUCAGAAAGAGUUGCUUCGAGCUGUGAAUUCAAAAGAAUGUUGUUGCUUGAUACAUCCCUGUGAAUGAUUGGCGGAUCACAAUCGUGAUGCAAGUAGGACAAUGCACUGGCAAUGCCCUUGAUCAAAUUCAAUCUUUUAACCCAAUCCAGCUCCACAGCUUCAGUUUCAUCUCUCAAGAUACAAAACAAGCUUCCUCUGUCCAUGUACUCAUAAAUCAGAAACAUGCAUCGCUUGUGCAGACAGAAUCCAAAGAGCUUUACAAUGUUCCUGUGCCUGAUUUUAGAAAGCAUGUCGGCUUCAUUCCUAAAGCUCUUGUCAAAAUUUGGAUUCUCGCCUUCCAGACGGUGAAGCUUUUUCAAAGCCACUACUUUCCUGCUUGGCAACCGUGCUCUGUAUACAGAGCCAUACCCCCCUGUCCCGAUGCAAUAACUGACAUCAAAAUCGUUGGUCGCUUUAAUUAUGUCUUCAUAAGCCAUAUGUCCAUCAUAGUUCCAUAUUCUGAAAAUGUCUCCAUGUUUAUUGUCCAUGAGCUCGACUUUAACUUUCUUGAAGCAGCGGAUAUAAAUUACUAAUCCGCCAGUUAUUGAGAACACCAACAAGGGUACGCCAAGACCUAUGAUGUAGUAUAGGGUGUGAUGUCUGUGAUUUCCCACAACAGAAGGAGAUGCACCACAAAAAGUGGAAUUGUAACGCAAGUCUCGAUUGCCGGCAAAUCUUUCUAAACCAAACCAAUAGACAAGCUCACACGGAAGUUCGCCUUCCAAAGCAUUAUAGGACAGGUCGACGUCCGACAGUUGUUCAAGAGACGAGGGGACGGUGCCAGAGAGAAUAUUGUGGGAAAGAUUCAAAGUGAAAAUGUGCCCAUAGGAUUUAAGCAUGUCAUCCCCAAAUUGGGUAGCAAUUGGGCCUACAAGUUGGUUUGAGGAAAGAUCUAGAAUUUGUAGAAAAGGCAGAUUGAAAAGUCCAAGAGGCAAGGAACCACUUAUUUGGUUAGAAGAGAGGUUCAAAUUAACUAGAGCAGACAGAUUGCCAAGGGUCGGAGGGAUUUGACCAGUCAGCCGGUUGGACCAAGAUCGAGAUAUUCCAAAUAUCUCAAAUUUCCUAUUUCAGAGGGAAUGGAACCAUGCAUUUGAUUCUUAGCACCUGAAAGAGAGACUAGUUUGGUUAGGCCGCAAAGGACUGAAGGAAGGGCACCUGAAAGAUUAAGGCCGCUAAAGUCUAAGUUAGCUAAAUUCUUCAAAUUUCCUAUUUCUUUUGGGAGAAAUCCUUCCAUUGCGGGAUUCGAGUGAAUGUAUAGUAGGGAAAGAUUUGUCAAAUUAAAAAGAGCUGAAGGAAUCGUCCCAUUGAAGUCGUUAUUGCUGAGGUCAAGGGAGUCAAGGUUGGACAAUUGUCCAAGAGUUGAAGACAGGAGCUCACCUUCAAGUCCAUUGGAAGACAAAUUGAGAUAGGCGAGUUUGGAGAGUGCAGCUAUUUGAUGUGGGAUGGCUCCGUAAAAGCCAUUUUGAUUGAGAUUGAGGGAGACUAAUUUGGACAAGUGGCCAAGAGUUGGAGGGAUGGAACCCCCAAAAGAAUUGUGGCUCAAAUCUAGAGCAACCAAGUUCAUCAAGUUUCCGAUACCCAGAGGAAUUAAGCUUGCAAUCGAGUUCGAAGAAAUAUCGAGUUGUGCUAGUUGCGUAAGGUUUACUAGAGAAGAAGGGAGCUCACCUUGAAGAUAGUUGGAAGACAAAUCGAGAUAGGCGAGUUUGGAGAGUGCACCUAUUUGAUGUGGGAUGGCUCCGUAAAGACCAUUUCGACUGAGAUCUAAAAGAAGAGAAGCUGAAAUUUGUCAACUCACCGUAAAUUCCGUAGCCCGGAAGUAGUAUUUCGGUAACGCUACCAGCAUCGUUGCAAAUGAUACCAAACCAAUGGCAAUGGGCAGAGACGUUUGUUGCAGUAGUAGUGUCUCCCCACCAGCCACUCUUGCGCAGUGCUUCAGCUUCCAAUAAAUUCACAGCAGACUCCUUUGCUGCUGCUACUGCAACUGGUGCAAUAGGCAGUAUCAUGAGAAGAACAAAUCCGCUGCCUACAACGUCCAUCGAUGCUAUAGUACUAUGAAAGACCGCAAUUAAGAUAAGAUAGAUGAAAUGUAAGCGCCCGCCGCCCGCCCUGAUUAAGUAGUCUGGGUUGAAAGACUCGCACUUAAAAUGGAGUGCAGUCAGCACUCAGCAGUGUUUGCGGUCUUCCGCAUUUGAAUGGUACGCUGUGUGGAAUUUCUCGUAAAAAUGCCACGCAAUUGGCUAUAUUGACCGUUCUUAUUGUGAAGGAAAAGAAUUAUAGACAAUCGUCAACAAAAGAGAAAAAAAAAAUUCCAAGAACUCUUCCAUUAUUACUGUGAGCCAAUAUAAGAGCUAGAAUUGGACUCUUAACAAGUGGCAUACGGUUCUACUAAAUUGAACUUCAACUGAAUUGGUAGCCUUUGUCAAAAGCGGUUCAAUCAGAAGGAAAUUACUCACAACCCUUUUUUUCAACAAAAAAAAAAAAUUUUUAAAAACACACCCCAUCAUCUUCACAUGGUUCUCCAAUCUAAUUAUUGCUCUUUGUGCUAAAGAGUAAAUGAUAAAUUCCAAGGACAGAUUUCUAUAAAAAAAAAAAAAAUCUAAUUGUAGCUCAGAUAUAUAAGGCUUAGUUUGUGAGUUUAGGAGAUUAAAAAGAAAGAAGAACGAAAAAUUUAAGUUAUGAUAAAAAAAGGAAAAGAAGUAUUAGAACUUCUUUCGUUUUUGUUGUUUGAGACUAGCGAGAAAGGGAGCAAAUUAGUAAUGUUUCGGUUUUAAAAGUACAUUUUGCUGCCAGUAAUGCAAUACCGGUAUGUAACCUUUUUAUCUUUGUUCAAGGCAUUUGCGUACAUGCGAACACCAAGACAUAUGGUAUGAGUUUGAACUCUAAUGAUCCUUCUUUUGCAUUUCUAUAGAUUUAGCAUAACUAAAUAGAUCAGGUAACAAGUGUACAGUUAUAUGUGUAUUAGCAUAAUUAGUUAAAACGUGCAACACGAAGUGCAACAUUCGAUGUCAUAAAUGAUGUAGUAAUAAUUGGUAUAAUGUGUAGACCAGCACAAUUUUGAUAUUUUGUCAAUGAUUGUUUUGUUGAUUAAAUUUAGACACCAAUUUUGAAAAUUUAAUUACAUGGUUAUUCGUUUUAAAAGGUACAGAUGCUAAAUUCAAGCUCAACCAAACUGGUAAAUUUUGCCCAAAUUCAGCAAAAGCGGUACAGUUAAAAGGAAAUUACUUGCAACCUUCUUUUUUUUUUACAAAAAAAGUUUAAAAACCAUAUGGUUCUUUAAUCUAAUUAUUGCUCUCUUUGUGCUAAAGAAUAAAUUCUAACUUCUAAGAGCAGAUUUCUAAAACCCAAAAAAAAAAUUGUAAAUCUUAGAUAUAAGGCGUAGCUUGUCAAUCCUGGACAUUAAAAACAAAGAAGGGUGAAUUCCUUAUAUGCCAUUUCAGGUCAAUUGCAUGAAUUAAAUAGCCUGGGUUAGUUUGGAUUUAAAGUCUUGCAAUUUACAAUCAAGUCAAGGUCCUUCGAAACUAAUAAACGACAUGGAUAUUUUAUUACGCGUUUUAAUUUGGAACACUCGCAAUGCUUGCUGUCUUUUUCUACCUUUGAUUUCAUUCCGCUUUCGAGAGUCAAAGUCAUUCUUUCACUCGGGUCUUGUGUGCAGCUUCUCAGAUAUUGCCCCGACUUACAAGUACAAAUAGUUCAACUAAGAUAUGGCUUAUUUGUGUUAAAGUCCAUAGAUGGUAAAAGUUGCUUAGACAGUGGAAAAGUGGAAUUUCUUUUAAUUUUUUCCUUUUCCCUCGUACAUUUACAAUUCGUAUCAUUGUCAUGGAAGAAAAACUAUUCAUAGCCUGGAAGCUUCUCUUUGAAUCAUAUUAUAGUAGUUUUACAAAGGAACAAAAUUUUGCUUCUUUAUAUAGGCAAAUUGCUCUACCCCUUGUAGUUUUGCGUAAUAUGACAUGACCUCCUUAAAGUUUCAAAAUACCCACAUAAUCUCCUAUGAUAUUGUGGACAAUGGAAAUUGGAUGGAAACCAUCUUCGUUUACAAUGAUUGACCGAGACGUGUUUUGAAAGUAUGUCUGAUAAUAAAAUUGUAAUAUCCACUUGAUUCCUCUAUAGUUUUGCAUAAAUAUUCACUUAAUCCGCUCUAGUUUCGUAUGUAUCUACACAAUCCUCAUGUAAUUUUAUGAAAAAUGAUUAGACCCUUAUUCAAAUUAGUGCCUGAAAUAGGGCAAUAUUAUCAUUACAGCUAACAAGUUAUGAAGACUAUGUUUCAUCAAACUUCAACUUUACAUAAAAUCAUAAGAGAGUUAUGUGGAUAUUUUAAAAUUUUAAGAGGAUCAUAUGGUAUUGUACAAAUGCACAGGAGGGUAGUCAGUAAUUAUCCUUCUUCGCUUCUUAUUUAGGAUCUUGGAAUUUUGAUAAUUAUUUUUAGGAUAAAUUACAUAUAACCCCUUUGUAAUUUUACAUAUUGCCACAUGACCUCUUAAAAUUUUAAAAUCUUCACAUAAUUCUCUUGUAGUUCUAUAUAAAGUAAAAAAUGAAUAAAAAAUACCAUCAGUAAUGGCAAUUGAACUAGAUGCCCUCAACAAAUGUGUGUGAUAAAAUCAUAAUGUCCACUAAAUCAUCUAUAAUUUGCAUGAAUAUCCACUUUAUUCUCGAGUGAUUUUUAGAUUUAUUCAUAUAAUUUCUUUAUGAUUUUGUGCUAGAUAUUUUGGUCAUUAUUUGUUUUAGUGCUUAAGUAACAGCGACAUUGAUGUUUCAGCUAAUUCCCGUCAAAUUCUUUCUGAGGUAGCGUGAGUUUAAAGAUCUGCAUUUAAGUUCUAUGUCAAGGUCUUUCCAAUCUGCGUCUUAGGGGGACCAAGGGAGGCUUGUAGCGUGUUCUUUCUGGCCUUGAUUUGAAUUCACAUUUGAGAGUCAAGUUCACUGCAAUUGUUCUGCAAAAUUUCUUGGAAGACUUUUCUGCGGGAAGGCUUUUUUGUUUCUUGACCAGGCUUUGUUUUUCCUUUUCUUUUCAAUCAGGACAAAAUACACUUUACAUCUUUGUGGUUUAACAAUUUUUCAUAUAACUUCCUUAAUAGUUUCAAAAGAUAUACAUAACAUCCUCAUAAUUUAAACUAAAGUAUCAAAGUAACGAAAAUGAUCCUCUGUAACAGAAGCCAAGUAAAUAUCGAAAAUAUCCUUGUUUAAAAACUAAAAUAGUUGAAUUGACCAAAAUAUAUAAACUUAAUAUGCAUGGCACUUUAAUCCUUUAUGGUUUUAUAUUUUAUUAUAUAAUCCCCUUAUUGUUUUCAAAAUAUCUACAUAACCCCUCUAAGAUUAAUUAAUAAUUUUCAACUUCACAAAAAAAGUACUUUUGACAUUUAAGUUGACUUUGUUAUAGAAUGCAAAUUAUGUGACUUUGACACUUUUAUCUAAAUUAUGAGAGAGUUAUAUAUAAUUUUUCAAACCAUAAGGGAGUUAUUUGAAAAAGUGCUAAACCACAUGGGAGUGAAAUGUAUAUUGCCCUUUGGAUAAUUUAAAGGAGUUGUACUCUCAAGGAUGACUGUAUUAAGGAUGAAUAUAUAUUGCCCUUAAGAGUCAAUGAGCCUUUCCCUGCCAAUGCCAUGACCUCCAAAAUAUUUAGACCCUGUCUAGAUUAUUAAUUUUUUUUAAAGAAAAUUUUUGUGGUUUUUGGUGAUUUUUUUACAUAUUUUUUAAUUUUACCGUACAUAUAUCAUAUCCGAAAAAAAUGUUAAGUAAUUUUUUGUAAAAAAAAAAACUUUUCAAAAAGUGCAAUCCAAACUAUCUCAUUAAUACCCAAAGUUUGAGUUUUAACUAGAUAGCCUUUAGGAUUUUAGAAAUUAUUUUUUUUGCACUUAAUUUAUAGACUACUUAAUUUUACUCUCUUACAAAUUGAUAAAAAAAAUUUUAAGUUAUCUUGUUAAAUUAUGCCUUUGGAAAAUCUAAGACCAUGAUAAUUAUACUUAUUGUUAGUGUUUUUUUCCUUUUAUGGGAUUGGUAAGAGUAUCAAAUUCUUGAUGGGGGUUUUGUGAUUUGGCACCAUUUUACCCUUAGUAGUGUAGGUAUAAAAGAAAUUUUAAAACAUUAUACGGCACUAGGUUUUGCAAACUCUUUUAUGAGUACUUGAUUUCAAAAAAGUAUUCAAUAGUUGGUGAAGAGUUGGAGAAAGUUAUUGUGUUCAAUGUGAUGAGAAUGAGGAGAUGGGGGAAAUUACAAACUUACUUGUUUGGAAAGUAAUUUUUUUUUAUUGGAGAAAGUUAUUGUGUUCAAUUGUUACGUUUUUUAUGAACACAUUUUUCAAUCAUCUUAUUAUCUCACAUAUAUCAAAUCGCUAUAAUAAUUUUUGUACAAAAUAUUCAGAAAAAUGCAAUCCAAACAUGACAGUUUAGUUUCCUUUUUUCUUUUUCUUUUUUUUUUUGAAGUGCUAUAAUGUGAGGGAGUAAACAUCCUUAUACUAUAUAAGAAUGAGUUGUGGUGAAAGAGGGUUUUGUAUUUCAACCGCAUGGAUAAGGGCAUUUUUGAAAUGUGGAAUGAUGUGGAGUUUAUUUUUAACUCUGGAUACAAGUGGUGGUAGCAUGUGUUUUGGUAUGUUUACGGAAAUCUCCUCAUAUUUGCAUAUUUAAAACGUUUAUUUAAGGAAACAUUUGCGUAUUUUUAGAAUGUGAGAUUAUUUUAUAAUCGUUUUUGCAUCAUGUACAAGUCAUACAAGCUUAUGUAUUGGUGUAAUUACUUAAAUGGUGUUACAAACACAUUUACUUGAAAUGUAAUAUCUAUUGUGCAAUUGAAAUAAAGACAUGUUGCUAUAAUAUAAGAAUGAGUUGUGGUCAAAGAGGAUUUUGAAUUUCAACUACAUGGAUAGGGGCAUUUUUAAAAUGUGGCAUGAUAUGGAGUUUAUUUUUAGCUCUGGAUACAAGUGAUGGUAGCAUGCAUUUUGGUAUAUUUAUGAAAAUCUCCUCAUAUUUGCACAUUUAAAGCGUUUAUUUAUGGAGACAUUUGAGUACUUUUGGAAUAUGGGAUUAUUUUAUAAUCAUUUUUGCAUCAUGUACAAGUCAUACAAGCUUAUGUAUUGGUGUAAUUACUUAAAUGGUAUUACAGACAUAUUUAUUUGAAGUGUGGUAUUUUAUUGUGCAAUUGAAAUAAAGGCAUGUUGCAAUAAUCUUACCGCUUGAUGAUGUUCAAUUGCUUGAAACAUAUUCAAUUGUCAUUGUCAUUUACAUCUCAAUUAAACUGAAGAAAAUGUGGGUAUGUUAAUAAAUUUAUACCUCAGCAUCGGUUAUAGUUGUUCAAAUGCAUUCUUCUUCAAAUUCUUCGGUUUUUUUUUCUUUCGACUUUCGAGAUUGGGCUAUUUUUGCUGCCUUUAUACUUUGCAUUCCAAAAUGAUUUUCAAGCGAAACUAUUCUUGGUGGUUCAGUUCGAGGUGAGUUUUGUUUCUUAAUUUUAUUGUUUAUGUGGGUGGUUUUGGUGGUGUGUCGCGUCGAAUGACUGAUUCUAUCAGAAAUUUUGAAAAUCUAGUUGCAUAAUUUAACUAUAAUAUUAUGAUUUUUUCACAAAUUUGGUUGGUUUGUGUAAUUUAAAUUGUGUAUUUAUGAUGCAAUAGGUUUGGAACAACUACAAAAAAAAGUUUUUCGAGAAGUAUCUGGAAUAAGAUAAGCUAAAAAAACACUUUAAUUAGUUUAGUUAUGGUGUGUUUUUCUGUUGCAUGUAAUAGGUGAUUCAUAUAUGAAAUUCAUUUUGAUAGUAAAUUGAUAGCAAAGCAUUGUGAAUUGGUAGGUUACAUGGUAUGCUACUGAUUUGAGUUUGAAUUGUUUAGCCACUGAUGAAUUAAUAGAAUAAACACUUUCUAAGCCAUUUAUAUUAAUAGUGUUUCACAUAUACCUUCUAAUUAAGUAAAGGUCAUAGAAAUGGUUCGAUUUCCUUAUGCAGUGAUGAAUUUGUAGAAACUCCUUCAAACAAACAACUUCAAUGAGUGUUUUCUUAUAUUAUGGAUCAAUGAAUGCUUUCUUAUACAGGUAAACAAAAACUAAAUUGCAACGAAAAACUAAAAAGAUGAACCAAAAAGAAACCAAAAGAUGCGAAACAAAACCUCACACUGUACAAGAAUGAGUGUGGUUUUGAAUUUUAACCCCAAGAACAGACAUAUAGCCCAUGAAAUUACUUGUAAUUCAUGAAAUGUAAAUUGAAUAAUAAUCUGAAGAAAAGAAAACUUAAAUAACUUUUUACAAAUAUUAUAAUCCUUAUUAAUUUGAUUAACAUUUUAACCCCAAGAAUAAACAUAUAGCUAAUGAAAUUACCUGUAACCUAUGAAAUGCAAGUUGAAUAAUAAUCUAAAGAAAGGGAGACUUAAAUAGCCUUUGCAGACAAUCUAUUAUUGAAACCUAUGCUAUGAAAUAUUAUCGUUUAAUAUAAUAUCUCAUUCUUAUCUUCAUUCACUUACUCUUCUACCAAUUUAAAUAUUUUGGAAACUUUACAAAAUAACAACAUAACCACCAACAAACAACUAUCUUAAAAUCCUCUUUAAUAACAGGCACCUAACACUAGGCCUGUCAACGGUACCGGAUCCGUGAAAUUAUUGUGGGUAUGGGUAGAGAUUUAAUUCUGUUACCCGAACCCGGAUCCGGAUCCGUUUUGUCAAACAAAAAACGGGUUGGAUACAGAAUAUAGUAUUUCGAUCCGUAUUAGACCCAGAUCCGAAUAUAAAUGGAUUAAUAAUUUAAAAUAUAUAUAUUUAUCAAUAUAAUUUGAUUAGGGUGAUGUAUUUGAGUAAAGUCAAUUUGAUUUCUUUUCUUAUUUGAUUUUUUUUUGUAUUAGUUAGAAAUUAGUUUUACAAAUAUAUUUUUUUCUCAUUUUUUAUUAGAAAUUGUAAGGUUUGAUAAAUUUUUUCGGGUAGACCCGACCUGGAUCUGGGACCCGUCGGAUCCGGAAUAUAGAGUAGAAGACCCGCCGGAUAAACAGGUCGGAUCCAGGUCCGAUAAUUCCGGACUCGGACUCGACCUGUUGACAAGCCUACCUAACACUAGUGCAAUACGCGGGCGCUCCCUCCGCAGUAAUAAAAUGUAAAUCAACGUAUCGGGGUAUUGAGAUAUCCAUUAUUUGAAAAAAAAUUACUUAUUUUGACAUUGUAGUACUUUUUGUGACGUGAGAUAAACAGAUGAUUAGAAAGAUAAAUAGAUGAGAAAAUGUGUUAAUGAUAUAAAUUAAAUAAUUGUUUCAUAUAAUUGACAUCCAAAGACUCCCAUUUUAACACUAAAAAAAUAUCUCAUGCUUUGUAUAUAAAUUGAUUGUAAUUUAUGCAUCGUGUAAAUGUGUAGAUAGAUUUCCAAGUUGCAUCCAAAAUUCCAUUUGUGUACACUUGUACUAUAAAGUUACUGACUUGUUCCAAUUACUCCUACUGUGCAUGUGUUUUUAAUUUUAUUUUUUCAAUUUUUUUAUGGUGGCAUGAUGAACAAAUACUCCGAUUGUGUAGUACUUUUUGGUACAACUUCGUUGAGUUGUUCCCAUACGCAAAUGAGAGAACCCAAAAAGAAAAAAAGUUUUGGUUAUCCCCUUUCCCAACCUCGAACUCUCCGAAAACCGGACACUUUUGUCUCUUGGCACGCGGGCAGCUGCCUUCAUCUACUCCAAUGGCAGAAAACAAUCUGCCCGAAAUCUGCAAAUCCUUUCACCAGCGAGCUUCUGAGGCUGAGGUUUCUGAUCUCUUUUUAGCUCGUUAACUCCCACAUUAUGGGUCUAAAUCUUGGUGCUUUUCUCUUCUUUUCUUUUUUUUUUUUCAAAUUACUUGUCAUUGAUAUGUUAUGCUUUAAUUUUUCUUGUAUCAAUUCUCAUGCUUUAAUCCAAUUAUUGGAGGGCUUUACCAGGAGUUCUUAGACUAGUUUGAUGAAUUUAUUUUGACGUUUCUUUUACUGAUGCAUCAAUCAUGUUUACGAAUUAUAAAUAUAUGAAUCAGAUAUUAAAUUAGUCCAGGAAUCUAAAUUGGGAGCUUCGGAUUCUUCUGUUUGAUGUUUUUGUUUGGUUCCGUGUGAGAAUUGGAGUUGCACUAGAAUUGGACUUGUCUAUACAAAUUUUACUUAAAUCCUAUGGUAUACAAUUCAACUCUCUUUGAGGAAUCAAACACACCCUUGUGUAGUGGAUUCUUUUGUGUUUGGCAUGCAAAUGAAGUUACAGAAUUGUAGAAUACUAUUUUCUUGUAUUCGAAUACUACUUUUUACGCUUUGCUUUAUUAAUAAUUGUAGCGUGCACUAAGCUUUUAGGGGUAAUAUGUUAAUCAUAUGACAGUUUGGGAGAUCUGUCCUCGUUUUUGUUGACGAUAGGGGUUUUACUGAUUGAAAUUUCCUUCUUUGUCAUGUAGACUCGAUUGGAAAGACUUGAAGCUGCUAUUGCUAGUGACAGAAGUAGGUUUAACGAUCAAUGCAUUUCAACGGAUUUCAUUUUGAAUUUUCUGACGUCUACUAAUUAACUCAUCCUUAACCUUUUCUUCAUAUCGAUAUGCUUCUUCAGAUGCUGGGAAUGAGAAAUUAUAGAAUAAGGUUCGUGAGCUUUAGUCAAAGUUAGAAAAUGUGAAAGCGGAGCAAGCUUUAGGAAGAGAAAAGUUGUGCUUUGUGCAGUUUUUUUAAUUUUUGCAUGUUAAAUAGUGCUAAAAAGGUAACCCAGUCUUGUUUUAUAUCCCUUUUAGGCUCAGAAAGAGCUAAAGCAGCUACAUGCAGAAAAUGCCAAGCUCCAAUAUCGUAUAACACAUCUUGUUUGAGCACUAAAGGAUACUGAUUGUAUGUUACAAUCUAAGUGAGGUAACACUAAUAUUCCUACAAUGCUUAUUAUUUCUUGAGAAAUUUACUCAUUCAUGUUAUACAGUAAGGCUUUGAGAUUCAGCUUGACCUUGGAAUUUGAAGCAAAGUCCUGAAGAAUUUCAUUGCCCUAAAAACAAGUGUUAGCUUUCUUUUAAUUUUUUUUUCUCCAUUUGGCAAGUGUUUUUAAUAUUUGUCAUCACUACUUCCCUGAUUUGAAGGACUUCUGAACAAUUCAUGUGGAGCUCAGACAAAGUUACGCUUCACAUGAAUCUUACAUGUUUUAUCUGAAUGGCCUUUUCAUCUUACAUAUAGAACAGUACAAGUCAUCUCUGAGGAGUUUUACAACCUUCUUUUUUAUUUUAUUUAAUUUUCUGUAAUGAAUCGAUAAUUUUUCUAGUACUCUUGCAUAAUUUUGUACAUGCUACUUUUCAGGGACUUUUGGGACUUAGCUCCCUUUAUCUCUAUCAAGUUGGAAUAUGCAAGUUGGUAAAUAGCUUUCUAUCUCUGUGAUAACUUAGUUUGCUCGUUCAAGCUUAUCUUUUUGCGAAGUAUUUGGAUAGUCAUUUAAUACUAAUUUAUGUUCAUCGACUGCUGUUCAUAGAUGCCAUAAAAGGUUUUAUAUUCAUCAUUCUGGCACAGCUUAAGACGUGCAGAACAAGCAAUAGUUUUGAUGGCUUUCUCUAGGCUUAUUUUAUAAUCAAGCAGAUACAUUUAAGUUUGGCAUUCUUACCUUUCACCAAGUAAACUCUUUAGUCUCCUAUUUGGAUUUUCUUGCAGUUAGCUUAUUCAUAAGUGGAUUGAUCAGUAAUUUUAAUUGAUAGGGCUUUGAACUCUUUAGUCUUGCCAUGUCGUAGAUUGGUUAGUUCAAUGAGAAUUGGCAAGCAACAGGAGGCUAAGGUUGUCCAUAGGAAGUACAGCGCCUUCAGCUGUCAUAUAUGGCAUAUCAACUUGGGGAAGUCCAAUUGCAGUUUGUCACUUGGUGCAAUUGUUCUGCUGGUUAAAAGUAGAUCUGAUUUCUAAUAUGGAUAAGGUUAAGUUUGCAUUUAUCCUGCAAAGUAGGUAGAGUAGUUUUAUAGUGCAUGUUCCAAGCACCAUCUUCAACGUUUAAGAACUUUUAUGACCUCAGAUGCUUUAGAUAUUUUACCAAUAAUACGUGCUCUGGAAAUGGUUGAGGAGAACAUUUUGAAGGUUACUCUAAGGAGAAUAUACACACCAGUUAACUAUUGUCUUCAAAGUUUGAGAACUUUGAUGAGUUUGGAUGACUUUGUCAUUUCAUGAAUUGUACUUGCUCCUGAAAUGGUUGAGGAUAACAUUUUUCAAGUUUACUUGAGCGAGAUAUUGAAUCCACUUUAGAACUUGGCUACAGAGAAUUAAAGUGAAUACUAGGAGGUUGAAUCUUCUGACUCAUGAUAUCACCUCCAAUCUUUGUCACUUUAUCACAAGACCUAGGGGGAUGUAGAAGAAUAUGCUUUGGUAAGAAAAAUGGGAAGAUGACUUGUUAACAUCAUAAAAGACGUUCAUAGCGAUUUGUGGAGGGUGCAGCAUUAGAACAAACAAGAAUAAGAAACGGAUAAGUUUUGCAGUUAGCACUUAGCUGCAGUUCCUUUUGACAUAAACACUGUAUUUAAAUGAAGAAAUGUGAUAUGGUAGUCAGGGUUACACGUCAAAUGAAAAACUCAAAAAUCUAAAUGCGGGGCCAUAUUUGGAGAAUGAUCAUUGUGAUAAAGCAUGUCAGAGUUACUAUCACCCAUUGGAUGAAGUUGAAUAGGUUUUCCAUUGAUAUUUUAGUUCACCAGUAUUUCUUUCAUCAUACUGUAUUGUGUCAAAAAAUUUAGAAAGUGGAGAUUAAACUUUAGGGAUUCUUUUUUUGGGAACCUACAUAAAAAAGGAAGUGCGUUUUUAGAAGAACUAAAUGAGUGAUUUGAUCUUCAUCUCAGACCUCUAUUACUCUCGAUUGACAAUCCACAUGUUAGAUUCUUCAGGCAUCUGACCUUUUGUCUUCUCAGUCACCUUUAAACUACAAAAGGACAAACAUGGAUAAGAAAAAGCGAGAAGGGUAAAUAUGCUGUUAGCUUACUGAAGAAAGAAUUUUUUUACUCAGAAUUAUACAAAUGAUUCUAUAGUCACCAAGACAAUUAUUAGUAUACAUAUGUAACACGAUCAUUUUGUCUUGAUGUUAAUACGUGGCUAGGGCAUUCUUAUGUAAAGGUGGACACUACCUACACCAUUUAUUUACUAGAUUAGCAGUGUCCAUUUUAUCAUUUAUAUGGAGAAUAGAACUGCAUGCCUGGGAACUGCACUUAACCAGCUGUAAACAUCCAUUUGGGGUGAAAAGCUGAACUUUUUGCUUCUGGGUGGUUGUACUGUGGUGACGGGGGAGAAUGAUGUGUAGCUCAUGCUGAUGAGUAGUUGUGGAGUCUAGUUUCUCAAGUUUUAUCUGGAUAUUAACCUAUUUACUUGGAAUGGAGGGAACUUGGUUGGUCUCAUGCAGCCCCACUCUUGUUUUGUCCCUUCUACUUGCAUGAUUAAUUACUUAUUCUUUCAAAUAACUUCACUUUCAAAUUGAGCUAUUUCUUUAUUACUAGUAUACCCACUUUCUUGAAAUGGAAUAUAUACAAUUGCCAAAAUGGCACAAAAAGUUAAUUUGGGGGAGUUGUGUACUUUGAAAAGUCUUAUAUUGCAAAUUAAAUAUCUUAGAUUUCUUGAAAUGGAAUAUUUUACAUUUUCAGGGUACUUUUGAAUUUCUACACUUCCAGUUUGGUUAUUUUAGUGAUUGAGUUAGUGUGUUAAAAGUCUUUACCCCUGCAAACGAGGAGUUCAUUGAAAAACCUCAAAUAAGCUUCAUCAGAAAGAUCCUUGCAAGCCUUCAUCACAAAUAUACAUGAAUCAUGAUAACUUGGAGUUCUUCAGUCUACUUUCGGAUUGCAUGUGUCUGAAUGACAUUACUGUUAUUAAAGUUUGGGGUUGAUUUAAUAAGGUGCGUGGAGAAGAUGUUAAUUUUUUAGUGCAACUCUUGUAGAUUUCCUGUAAAUAGGGAUUUGAGUAAAGUAAUGCUCUGAAUGUCAGCCUAUGACUCUAGCCUGGUUUAUAAAGGUGGAUGUUUGACUCUUUCGAUUUUAACCAAUGGCUAAAAUCAAAUCCAAAUUAGUUCUAAAUGAUAGAUCAGAGAAAAUUAAGGACAAGGAACGGGGGUAAGAUAUUAGUUUAUCUUUUGGGAAUGGAUAUAGUAAAUGUAGACCUUUCCAAAGCAAGUCUGGUUCCAGGUCAGUGACAGAUGUACUCACUGUUUGUUUGGAGCCAUUAUCAUGGAGGAAGAUGACUGAAAUGAGUGUUGUCUGCUUUCUAUUUUGUCUCAUUAGAUAAUUCUUGAAGUUGUCGUGUGCAAUUUUCUUUCUAAUUGUAGCACUUAUUUUAAAAUCACUUGGAAUUUGUGCCUUGGGUAAUUUAGUGCAUUCCUACAUGGAUCUCUUUGGUUUAGUUAUUCUGAUAUUGGGCAUAUAGACAAACUUCUAUGCUUUGUGACACAUUAUUAAUGUUGAGACAAUGUGGUCAUAAUGCCCUGUUUAAUUGGUAAGUAGAUCUUAUACUGCGUACUUCAAAUUUUGAUAUGAUAUAUGUCCAGGUUCAGCACCUGAAUAUAGAAUUUUUUUUUGGGAUAUUUCUUUUUUGGUGGGAGGGGGAGGGGGGAGCGAGGGGGUGGGCUGUGGGGGAGAGAGAGAGAGAGAGAGAAGAGAAUCACCAACUUCCUAUUUCUAUCUUGUUACUUUUGACUGUCGUGCGUUGUAAAGUUCUGGCAUUGCCCAUAAUCUUUCAGAAAGGUGAGUUUUAGAUUCUGCCUCUGAAGAGAGAUACUUUUCUUAGUUCUGGAUAAGUCUAGAUGUGGGAUAGGUUGAGAUUAGGAAAAUAUUUAAGUGCCAAAACUUUUCUUUGUUGUGUUCUAUUUUUCUUUCUAAGAAUUUUUUGUUUGAUUCUUGUGUUUUAUUGUUGUUUGCAGGGAAGAAUGAUAUUCCAUUUUGUGACCUGAAAGUGUACCAUGAUCAAAAGCAGCAGAUAAACUCCAAUGGUUUAUUUUUUAGCUUUCUUCAAAUUUCUGUACCUGCAAAUGGUCUCUCUUUGGACUACUAAAUGCAGGUAAGUCUCGGAUUGUUUUGGCCUUUGAUUUCAAAAUGAUAAGAUAAACCCCCAAUUCAUCACUCAGUUGAAAACUCCCAAUCCUGACAAUACCCUCAUUCUCUAAAUUUGUCUUUAUGCUGUAACAUGGAAUUCAUCCAGAAUCAGAUUGAUACUUUCUGAAAGCUAAAGGAGAGCAAGUGCUGACUGUAUCAAUCCUUGAGGGAAAACGGUAAUGGCUUUGUAACUUCCCUGAUACUGCUAAACAAUUUAGAAGAUCGGUCUGAGAGAAAAGGUGAUGCCUCUGGUUUUUCUGUAGCUGCUAAACACUAAGAGAGUUGCUUUUGCAACUACUACUUAUCAUAAGCCAACUCAAUAGAUUUGCUGAUAACAGUUGGGGGAGUUGCUACCACAUUAUCUGCUGAAUUGCCUCCUGCGUGCAGUCGAAUUAUAACCACAAAAAGUGUGGAAUUUCACAGAAUCCUUAUAUCAAGAAUGCACUGUCGUGAAUAAUAAUAUCCAUAUGCAGUUACCCAAGCAAGUAAAUCACCAGCAAUAUUAUGGCCCGGUCAAAUAUCGAGCUCCACGGCAAAAAGAAACCAACAGAGUACCAAAAAUCAUCAAAAUUUUAUCCAGAUGAGUCACACUUCCACAUUCUUAAAGUUUAUAAUGGCAUUUUCUGUAAAAUGGCUAAAAACCGAAGCAGAGAUAAGUACGUGCGACUUCCAUAGUAACUGAGUAUGUUUGCAAUCACAAGGGAAAUUAAAUGGCUGAAGGUGGGAAAUUAAGAAGCUUGAUCAAGUCACUUUUGUUGAGUUUAGAGUACCUUUUGAGGUUGCGUUCCUUUGCCAUGGCUCUGAGUUGAGCCAUCGACAAAAACUCGAGAUUCAUUGUGGCCACGGAUGUUGUACAAGAGAGUAACUUGAGAGGCUUCUUAACUCCAAAUUCAUUCGCUG